GCCGAAACUUCGGAUGCAUUUAAUGCAUGGUAGCGGAGCGUAGUGUGACAUAGUUUCCUGUCUCUUUUGAUCCCUUUGGGGUCAUGGGAGACGCGAAGCUUUCUGUGAAGCCGGGCUGUAAGGCAUCCGGUGGAGAGAUCACUAGUGAGAAUGAUGACAUGAGUAGCGACAAAGAGUGUGAGAGACACUCUCGCCGAAAGUCCAAGGGUUCCUGCUUAAAGCUAAUCUGAGCAGGGUAAGCCGACCCCUAAGUCGAGGCCGAAGGGCGUAGACGAUGGGAACCAGGUUAAUAUUCCUGGGCCAGGAGAUGGUGACGGAUUGUGAAGGUUGUUCCUCCUUAUUGGAUUGGAGGGGCCGCUGAUCAGUCCCUGGAAAUAGCCCUCCAUAAGAUCGUACCCUAAACCGACACAGGUGGACUGGUAGAGAAUACCAAGGCGCUUGAGAGAACUACAUUGAAGGAACUCGGCAAAAUACCUCCGUAAGUUCGCGAGAAGGAGGCCCAGUUUCUACGCAAGUAUUGGCUGGGGGCACAAACCAGGGGGUGGCGACUGUUUACUAAAAACACAGGGCUCUGCGAAGUCGCAAGACGACGUAUAGGGUCUGACGCCUGCCCGGUGCCUGAAGGUUAAAAGGAGGGGUGAGAGCUCCGAAUUGAAGCCCAGGUAAACGGCGGCCGUAACUAUAACGGUCCUAAGGUAGCGAAAUUCCUUGUCGGGUAAGUUCCGACCUGCACGAAUGGCGUAACGACUUCCCCGCUGUCUCCAACAUAGACUCAGUGAAAUUGAAUUGCCUGUCAAGAUGCAGGCUUCCCGCGGUUAGACGGAAAGACCCCGUGCACCUUUACUACAGCUUCGCACUGGCAUCAGAAUUGUGAUGUGCAGGAUAGGUGGUGGGCUUUGAAACCGGAACGCCAGUUUCGGUGGAGCCUCCCUUGAGAUACCACCCUUCGCACUUUUGAUGUCUAACCGCGGUCCGUUAUCCGGAUCCGGGACCCUGCGUGGCGGGUAGUUUGACUGGGGCGGUCGCCUCCUAAAGAGUAACGGAGGCGCGCG
rnacentral:rRNA from 1 species